GGCUCUUUGGUUGAAAUGUAUGAAGAGUCGGACCUGCCCGGUGACUAUAUGUUAAACGGCCGCGGUACCCUGACCGUGCAAAGGUAGCAUAAUCAUUUGCCUUUUAAUUGGGGGCUAGUAUGAAUGGUUUGACGAGAAUUGAGCUGUCUCUUAAAAAAUAUUGAGAAAUUAACUUUUAGGUGAAGAGGCCUAAAUUUGGCUGAGGGACAAGAAGACCCUAUUGAACUUUAGUGAUCUUUUAGGUUGAAUACACAUUUAUGUAGAGUUUUCUUGGAGAAAUCUUUAAUUGGGGCGAUUUAGGAACAGACAAAGCUUCCUAUAAAUUUAUUUGUGGCGGUCAUGUUUUUGAUCCAGUAUUAUUGAUUAAAGGAAAAAGUUACCAUAGGGAUAACAGCGUAAUCUUCUUGGAGAGUUCGUAUCGAAAAGUGGGUUUGCGACCUCGAUGUUGGAUUAAGAUAUCCGGGGGAUGUAGAAGUUCCCAAUGGUUGGUC
rnacentral:rRNA from 1 species